AUGUUUCCAUGGCUUCACUGUGGCCCUGCUCAAGAGGCCCUGUCUCCUUAUCAACGGCACUGGGACUGCCCUUGGCCUCACCCUGGCAGCCACUCCCCCGGGAUCUCUGGCAGCUGCCUGUGGACCCCACUACUGCAGAGCAAAACUUGGGGUGCCCCCUCCUCCUGGGCAGGCUUCAGAAGGAGCCCCUGCGCCUCCUCUAAGCCAGUUCUGCAGUGGACAGGCCCUUGCCUGGGCCCCAGGCUUCUGGCCACCCCGACACCAGGUUCCCCAAAUCUGGCAACUAGGGCUCUCCUGGGCCUGAGCAGCCAGCUCUGCCUGUGGGGGAGCUCAGGGGAGAGGCUGGGCUCCAGGGAGUCAAGUGCAGGGCUGAGUCUCAAGGCCACAGGGUCCAUGAGACAGCACUGGACCCCACGCCGGGUUGGGGCGAGUCCCAGAACCUUAGGUCACGUGUGCGAGUCAGACUCAGUGCCCGGCUCGGGACCCCAGAGCUGAGCAGGUGAUGUUGGGCUGGGCCUUUGCUGUGCAAUCUACAGCCUGGUGGGGUCUCAGGAUGUGGCUGACUUGGAAGCAGUGAACUGGUGUCUCAAAGUCAGACCCGGGCCCCAGGGGGCUGGCCGGGCACCCCCGAGACGCUUGCCCAGCUAGGUAGGAAAGGAGGGGCCGGGAGCCGGGGGUGGGUUUGGACUGCCAGACUGAAGCAUGAGCCCCACACACCUCCCUCUCAUUGCAGCCGUUACCUCAAAACAGCGAA
rnacentral:lncRNA from 1 species